rnacentral:piRNA from 1 species
GAGCAAAGGACCAAAUGUAGAAC